CCUACGGGCGGCAGCAGUCGAGAAUUUUUCUCAAUGGGGGAAACCCUGAAGGAGCGACGCCGCGUGGAGGAUGAAGGCUUUCGGGUUGUAAACUCCUGUCAUUUGGGAACAAUGCUACCGAGUUAACUGUUCGGUAGUUGAUAGUACCAGAAGAGGAAGAGACGGCUAACUCUGUGCCAGCAGCCGCGGUAAUACAGAGGUCUCAAGCGUUGUUCGGAUUCAUUGGGCGUAAAGGGUGCGUAGGUGGCGUGGUAAGUCGGGUGUGAAAUUUCGGAGCUUAACUCCGAAACUGCAUUCGAUACUGCCGUGCUUGAGGACUGGAGAGGAGACUGGAAUUUACGGUGUAGCAGUGAAAUGCGUAGAGAUCGUAAGGAAGACCAGUGGCGAAGGCGGGUCUCUGGACAGUUCCUGACACUGAGGCACGAAGGCCAGGGGAGCAAACGGGAUUAGAUACCCCGGUAGUC
rnacentral:misc_RNA from 1 species